rnacentral:SRP_RNA from 1 species
CCGUGCAGCCGGGGAGUUAGCGGUGCCCUGUACCUGCAAUCCGCUACAGCAGGGGUGUUGUCCCACCGAGGGUCUUAUGACGGAGAGCUGCCCAGGAUAAGUGGCGUUGACAUCCGGGUCUUGUGCAACAGAAACCUGUGAACCGUGUCAGGUCAGGAAUGAAGCAGCACUAAGCAGUGCUUUCUGUGUGACGCGAGGGUGCCUGGACCGAGUUUACUGUUCUGGUAACGUCUCUGAAAUAGGAUUCGACGUGGGGCGCACGG